rnacentral:rRNA from 1 species
CGGGGUGAGUAACGCGUGGAUAACCUGCCUCACACUGGGGGAUAACAGUUAGAAAUGACUGCUAAUACCGCAUAAGCGCACAGUACCGCAUGGUACAGUGUGAAAAACUCCGGUGGUGUGAGAUGGAUCCGCGUCUGAUUAGCCAGUUGGCGGGGUAACGCCCACCAAAGCGACGAUCAGUAGCCGACCUGAGAGGGUGACCGGCCACAUUGGGACUGAGACACGGCCCAA